GGUUAAGUUAGAAAGGGCGCACGGUGGAUGCCUUGACACUAGGAGUCGAUGAAGGACGGGACUAACGCCGAUAUGCUUCGGGGAGCUGUAAGUAAGCUUUGAUCCGAAGAUUUCCGAAUGGGGAAACCCACCAUACGUAAUGGUAUGGUAUCCUUAUCUGAAUACAUAGGGUAAGGAAGACAGACCCAGGGAACUGAAACAUCUAAGUACCUGGAGGAAGAGAAAGCAAAUGCGAUUUCCUGAGUAGCGGCGAGCGAAACGGAACAUAGCCCAAACCAAGAGGCUUGCCUCUUGGGGUUGUAGGACAUUCUAUACGGAGUUACAAAGGAACGAGGUAGACGAAGCGACCUGGAAAGGUCCGUCGUAGAGGGUAACAACCCCGUAGUUGAAACUUCGUUCUCUCUUGAAUGUAUCCUGAGUACGGCGGAACACGUGAAAUUCCGUCGGAAUCUGGGAGGACCAUCUCCCAAGGCUAAAUACUCCCUAGUGAUCGAUAGUGAACCAGUACCGUGAGGGAAAGGUGAAAAGCACCCCGGAAGGGGAGUGAAAGAGAUCCUGAAACCGUGUGCCUACAAAUAGUCAGAGCCCGUUAACGGGUGAUGGCGUGCCUUUUGUAGAAUGAACCGGCGAGUUACGAUCCCGUGCGAGGUUAAGCUGAAGAGGCGGAGCCGCAGCGAAAGCGAGUCUGAAUAGGGCGUUUAGUACGUGGUCGUAGACCCGAAACCAGGUGAUCUACCCAUGUCCAGGGUGAAGUUCAGGUAACACUGAAUGGAGGCCCGAACCCACGCACGUUGAAAAGUGCGGGGAUGAGGUGUGGGUAGCGGAGAAAUUCCAAUCGAACCUGGAGAUAGCUGGUUCUCCCCGAAAUAGCUUUAGGGCUAGCCUUAAGUGUAAGAGUCUUGGAGGUAGAGCACUGAUUGGACUAGGGGUCCUCAUCGGAUUACCGAAUUCAGUCAAACUCCGAAUGCCAAUGACUUAUCCUUAGGAGUCAGACUGCGAGUGAUAAGAUCCGUAGUCAAAAGGGAAACAGCCCAGACCGCCAGCUAAGGUCCCAAAGUGUGUAUUAAGUGGAAAAGGAUGUGGAGUUGCUUAGACAACUAGGAUGUUGGCUUAGAAGCAGCCACCAUUUAAAGAGUGCGUAAUAGCUCACUAGUCGAGUGACUCUGCGCCGAAAAUGUACCGGGGCUAAAUACACCACCGAAGCUGCGGAUUGAUACCAAUGGUAUCAGUGGUAGGGGAGCGUUCUAAGGACAGUGAAGUCAGACCGUAAGGACUGGUGGAGUGCUUAGAAGUGAGAAUGCCGGUAUGAGUAGCGAAAGACGGGUGAGAAUCCCGUCCACCGAAUGCCUAAGGUUUCCUGAGGAAGGCUCGUCCGCUCAGGGUUAGUCAGGACCUAAGCCGAGGCCGACAGGCGUAGGCGAUGGACAACAGGUUGAUAUUCCUGUACCACCUCUUUAUCGUUUGAGCAAUGGAGGGACGCAGAAGGAUAGAAGAAGCGUGCGAUUGGUUGUGCACGUCCAAGCAGUUAGGCUGAUAAGUAGGCAAAUCCGCUUAUCAUAAAGGCUGAGCUGUGAUGGGGAAGCUCCUUAUGGAGCGAAGUCUUUGAUUCCCCGCUGCCAAGAAAAGCUUCUAGCGAGAUAAAAGGUGCCUGUACCGCAAACCGACACAGGUAGGCGAGGAGAGAAUCCUAAGGUGUGCGAGAGAACUCUGGUUAAGGAACUCGGCAAAAUGACCCCGUAACUUCGGGAGAAGGGGUGCUUUCUUAACGGAAAGCCGCAGUGAAUAGGCCCAAGCGACUGUUUAGCAAAAACACAGCUCUCUGCGAAGCCGUAAGGCGAAGUAUAGGGGGUGACACCUGCCCGGUGCUGGAAGGUUAAGGAGAGGGGUUAGCGUAAGCGAAGCUCUGAACUGAAGCCCCAGUAAACGGCGGCCGUAACUAUAACGGUCCUAAGGUAGCGAAAUUCCUUGUCGGGUAAGUUCCGACCCGCACGAAAGGUGUAACGAUUUGGGCACUGUCUCAACCAGAGACUCGGUGAAAUUAUAGUACCUGUGAAGAUGCAGGUUACCCGCGACAGGACGGAAAGACCCCGUGGAGCUUUACUGUAGCCUGAUAUUGAAUUUUGGUACAGUUUGUACAGGAUAGGCGGGAGCCAUUGAAACCGGAGCGCUAGCUUCGGUGGAGGCGCUGGUGGGAUACCGCCCUGACUGUAUUGAAAUUCUAACCUACGGGUCUUAUCGACCCGGGAGACAGUGUCAGGUGGGCAGUUUGACUGGGGCGGUCGCCUCCUAAAGUGUAACGGAGGCGCCCAAAGGUUCCCUCAGAAUGGUUGGAAAUCAUUCGUAGAGUGCAAAGGCAUAAGGGAGCUUGACUGCGAGACCUACAAGUCGAGCAGGGACGAAAGUCGGGCUUAGUGAUCCGGUGGUUCCGCAUGGAAGGGCCAUCGCUCAACGGAUAAAAGCUACCCCGGGGAUAACAGGCUUAUCUCCCCCAAGAGUCCACAUCGACGGGGAGGUUUGGCACCUCGAUGUCGGCUCAUCGCAUCCUGGGGCUGUAGUCGGUCCCAAGGGUUGGGCUGUUCGCCCAUUAAAGCGGUACGCGAGCUGGGUUCAGAACGUCGUGAGACAGUUCGGUCCCUAUCCGUCGUGGGCGUAGGAAAUUUGAGAGGAGCUGUCCUUAGUACGAGAGGACCGGGAUGGACGCACCGCUGGUGUACCAGUUGUUCUGCCAAGGGCAUAGCUGGGUAGCUAUGUGCGGAAGGGAUAAGUGCUGAAAGCAUCUAAGCAUGAAGCCCCCCUCAAGAUGAGAUUUCCCAUAGCGUAAGCUAGUAAGAUCCCUGAAAGAUGAUCAGGUUGAUAGGUUCGAGGUGGAAGCAUGGUGACAUGUGGAGCUGACGAAUACUAAUAGAUCGAGGACUUAACCAU
rnacentral:rRNA from 1 species